GCAACUGAGACCAAACCUGAAGACCGCUUCGCGCCCAGUCUAGCAACCAAUUCCGUGCUUCCUGGUGGGGUGUCCCCUUGCGGUGUUCAGAGGUGGUUUCUAAGGUGCACUUUCUUUCUUCCUUCCUUUUAAAAAACUAGAUCGUGAGAUUCUCUGAUAAUAACUUUGGAGACGACAACAUUGUGUGACAAUGUAAAAAGGUUGGCAGACCCCGUAGAAUCAUCUCUCCAAUACAGCUUCUCUGUUGUGUCCUGACUGUGAACAGCACCCACCCUGUAUCCAGUAAUUAAUCUCACUCCGCCCUCCCCACGCGGCCUUCUGCCUUCGCUUUACUCUGCUGUUUCAUCACCAAGCUCUCUUCAGGUCAAACUGUGUGAGGGUGGAAGACGUGGCUCUGUGGAAGCCAGCAUCAAGCCUCUCCUGGGAAAGUGGAGAUUCUUAGUUUUUAUCUUAAACUACGCCCUGCCUACAGCAGGGAGGGGGAGAGGAAGCGGGUGUGUGUGAACCAGUGCUACAGUGAAGGGGCCAACAGAGACAUGGCUUUGACAAGGCUGGAGACCAGUGCUGAUAGGAUGACGAAUGAGCCUGGCAUUAGCAUGAUGGAGAAAGAAAUCUGACAUCAGCUUAGCUCUUCAGCUCUUAAAGAAUCGCUUGGCCUCAACUCCUUCAUAUGUGUAGGUCUGAAAGAUGUUAACAGACAUAAAAAAGGAUGUGCCAUUAAGUUUCAGAUUGUCAUGAGCUCCAAGCUUCCUCUUCAUCACAUUAAUGCCUGCAACGGAGAGAGGUUGGAAGGGGCAUGAAAUCAGAGUGUCACCGAAAGGGUUUCUCUUUCCAAGUUCUGUUUUGCCUUGCUCAUCUUUAUUUUGUGGGUGUGGAAGAAAGAGCAAAUAGUGUCGUGAUGCUCAACACCACCAAAAAUGCUUCUAGAGAAAAAAGGGGAAGCUCUGGCAGACCCAGAGAAGGUUCAAGCUGCUUUUCCAAAGUAAGAAAAUGUAAACGAAGCUACAAAGUAUAGCACCUUAGCCCUGGAUAACAAAAACAAGAUCAACAAACCUUUUGCUUCAGGUCUCCAGAGGAGAGUAAAGAACACAUUGCUUAGCUUGGAUUCGAUCAACUGCUCGUACAGCACAUCGCUAAUCUUCAUUGUGUACCUCAAAGCGUUCCGUCAUGGCCUCUGACUGCUCUUCUGAUCCUGCUCUGGACUGCCAAGGAGUUUGAAAUGACUGCCUGGAUUCUUUUCAAAGACUGGGCUUGGCAAUAUGCAGGGAUGUCUAAAAAAUAUAAUGGCUGUAUAAAAUAUAAUGGAUGCUUUGAGGGUUUUGCUGUGUAGCUCAACUGGGUCUUGGACUUGAGGUCUUCUUGCCUCCAUUCCCAUGGCAUAGAACUCCAGGCACGUCCACCAAGUUGAGUGAUUAUGCCUGCGGAAGUGUGGCAUCUCCAUGGCGUGAGUCUAUCCUGAGGAUGGAUUCUCAUUAAGCAAGGAGUCUGAGAGCUAAAUGGAAGGCCUACCAGUGUCUCUUUGGAAUACCUUCUUCCCUGCCAGGUCAUCUCUUCAAGGAAUGUGGACAAAGGCUGUGACUCCUCAAGCAGAUGUCUUAAUGGGUUACGUCACGGGUGAAGCAAGAGGCCAAGGGCACCCCUUUAGGGAUGAGGAGUCCUCCAUUUUCCAAUACUGUCACAAGGUUCCACCGUGUGAACUUGAGAUUCUCUCUGAUCUUUGUCUCCUGACUCUGGCAUCAUGUUCUGGGAACUGUGUUUUCACAUUUGCAACCAUGAAUAAUGAACUUGUAUGCUUUCUGUGGAAACUGGAAGGACUUGCUUGUAGAUCUCUCUCUUUGAAUACAUUUUUUUUUUUUUGUCACAUGCCAGGGAUAUCACUGGUCUGAGAUUUCUUUUAUGUGCUUUCAAACUCUCUACCACAAUCAUAUUCAAACUCUUAUUGUGUGAACUGAAUAAUUUACACACACACACACACAUACACACACACGCUGCUUAUCACAUUAAGACACACGUAGCACUGGGUGUAGUAAUUCAUAAUUGUGAAUCAAAGCACUUGGGAGGCAGAAGGACAGAAAGAAAAGAGGAAAGGUCCACAAAUUUCCAUCCCAAUUCAGCACAAAUGAAGACGAUCCUCAGCCUGGUCUACAGAGUGAGUUCCAGGACAGCCAGGGCUACAGAAAAACCCUGUCUCGGGCCUGGAAUUCCUGAUUGCUGAGAGACAGCCCCAGGAUUGUGUGUUUACGGCUUCCUAGUUCUACAGAAAGGGCUGCUGUCCUGGGAGUGGAAGUCCGAGCAGCAGAGAACUAAGUGAUCUUAUUUUUUGCUUGGAGAAAAUCUCAGCCUGCUCGCUGGACUAAAGGGCACUGCAAAAAUGACAACUGACAACGUGGUGACUUCACAAGUACCCUGACCAGGUCUGACUCCACAGACACCCGAGGCAGCUAUUUACAUCACUUUCAAUGACAUUCAAGACAUGUCUACAUUGAAUAGUCUGAGAACUCCGAUCUCUCUCUCUCUCUCUAGUUGCAAUAUGGAAACAUGACCUAUGUUGUGGAAGAUGUGACUCCUUGCGUAAGGUGCUCUUUAAGCUAUCAGCAAGGAAGACGUUCACAGACUGUUCCUUUGAAUUCAUUGUCUGACCUGCCUAUUGGAGACAAACCUCUGCUACUCAUAGAAUUAUUAAUAUUUUUUUCCUGUCAAUUUCAGUUGACAGAAGGGAUAAAGACUCAACUUGCACUCGCGUAUCUGUAGUCAUAUCUGCCUUCAGGCAUGUGCCCCUGUGACCGUUUCUCUGUUGAAGCUUAAACUGUUGGAUUAAGGAGAUGAAAAGCAAAAGAAAAAUUAAAAAAAAAAAUUAGUUGGGGUAUGGGAGAAGUAAAGAGCCUUGGGGCUCAUCAACUGAGAAAGGCUCUUUAUUCAACCAACAGAGAAGCAGCAGGACGGGCCAGUGCAACAGCUUAUCCUUCACCUUAGAAGGCAUAUCUCUCCAUGCCUCAUAAUACUGGACUCCUAGAAACUUCACUGAGAGAUAUUCCACCUGAAGCACAGGCUCUACCUGCUCAAGGCUAAUGUUGUCGCGAUCUCUACAAUACUAACUCUACCAAAGGACUGAGCCAUUUGGAGGUAUUUUUAAUUAUGGGUGGAACCCACUGUCAUGAUGGAUUUCAGCUGUGCUUGCUGGUAUAGCCUGCCUACCAAAGG
rnacentral:lncRNA from 1 species